rnacentral:tRNA from 1 species
CCUUCGAUAGCUCAGUUGGUAGAGCGGUGGACUGUAGAAUGGUAGAAGAGCUCUAAACUCUCCAGCAGUUAUCCAUAGGUCGCUGGUUCAAAUCCAGCUCGAAGGA